GGGUUGUGAGGUUAAGCGACUAAGCGUACACGGUGGAUGCCCUGGCAGUCAGAGGCGAUGAAGGACGUGCUAAUCUGCGAUAAGCGUCGGUAAGGUGAUAUGAACCGUUAUAACCGGCGAUUUCCGAAUGGGGAAACCCAGUGUGAUUCGUCACACUAUCAUUACGUGAAUACAUAGCGUAAUGAAGCGAACCGGGGGAACUGAAACAUCUAAGUACCCCGAGGAAAAGAAAUCAACCGAGAUUCCCCCAGUAGCGGCGAGCGAACGGGGAGGAGCCCAGAGCCUGAAUCAGCAUGUGUGUUAGUGGAAGCGUCUGGAAAGGCGCGCGAUACAGGGUGACAGCCCCGUACACAAAAGCGCAUGUGUUGUGAGCUCAAUGAGUAGGGCGGGACACGUGGUAUCCUGUCUGAAUAUGGGGGGACCAUCCUCCAAGGCUAAAUACUCCUGACUGACCGAUAGUGAACCAGUACCGUGAGGGAAAGGCGAAAAGAACCCCGGCGAGGGGAGUGAAAAAGAACCUGAAACCGUGUACGUACAAGCAGUGGGAGCCCCACCACCAAAGCAUUCUCUGGUGUUGAAGGCCCUGCAAAGCAGCAUCGCGGUGGCGGAGCGUCGUUUGCGACGCCCAACACACAAAACAAGCGGUGAGUGCUUUGGGGUGGGGUGACUGCGUACCUUUUGUAUAAUGGGUCAGCGACUUAUAUUCUGUAGCAAGGUUAACCGAAUAGGGGAGCCGGAGGGAAACCGAGUCUUAAUUGGGCGUUAAGUUGCAGGGUAUAGACCCGAAACCCGGUGAUCUAGCCAUGGGCAGGUUGAAGGUUGGGUAACACUAACUGGAGGACCGAACCGACUAAUGUUGAAAAAUUAGCGGAUGACCUGUGGCUGGGGGUGAAAGGCCAAUCAAACCGGGAGAUAGGCUGGAUUCUCCCCGAAAGCUAUUUAGGUAGCGCCUCGUGAAUUCAUCUCCGGGGGUAGAGCACUGUUUCGGCUAGGGGGCCAUCCCGGCUUACCAACCCGAUGCAAACUGCGAAUACCGGAGAAUGUUAUCACGGGAGACACACGGCGGGUGCUAACGUCCGUCGUGAAGAGGGAAACAACCCAGACCGCCAGCUAAGGUCCCAAAGUCAUGGUUAAGUGGGAAACGAUGUGGGAAGGCCCAGACAGCCAGGAUGUUGGCUUAGAAGCAGCCAUCAUUUAAAGAAAGCGUAAUAGCUCACUGGUCGAGUCGGCCUGCGCGGAAGAUGUAACGGGGCUAAACCAUGCACCGAAGCUGCGGCAGCGACGCUGAUGCGUUGUUGGGUAGGGGAGCGUUCUGUAAGCCUGCGAAGGUGGCCUGUGAGGGUUGCUGGAGGUAUCAGAAGUGCGAAUGCUGACAUAAGUAACGAUAAAGCGGGUGAAAAGCCCGCUCGCCGGAAGACCAAGGGUUCCUGUCCAACGUUAAUCGGGGCAGGGUGAGUCGACCCCUAAGGCGAGGCCGAAAGGCGUAGUCGAUGGGAAACGGGUUAAUAUUCCCGUACUUGGUGUUACUGCGAAGGGGGGACGGAGAAGGCUAUGUUGGCCGGGCGACGGUUGUCCCGGUUUAAGCGUGUAGGUGUGUGUUCCAGGUAAAUCCGGUUCACUUUAACACUGAGGCGUGACGACGAGGCACUACGGUGCUGAAGCAACAAAUGCCCUGCUUCCAGGAAAAGCCUCUAAGCAUCAGGUAACAUCAAAUCGUACCCCAAACCGACACAGGUGGUCAGGUAGAGAAUACCAAGGCGCUUGAGAGAACUCGGGUGAAGGAACUAGGCAAAAUGGUGCCGUAACUUCGGGAGAAGGCACGCUGACACGUAGGUGAAGUGAUUUACUCAUGGAGCUGAAGUCAGUCGAAGAUACCAGCUGGCUGCAACUGUUUAUUAAAAACACAGCACUGUGCAAACACGAAAGUGGACGUAUACGGUGUGACGCCUGCCCGGUGCCGGAAGGUUAAUUGAUGGGGUCAGCGCAAGCGAAGCUCCUGAUCGAAGCCCCGGUAAACGGCGGCCGUAACUAUAACGGUCCUAAGGUAGCGAAAUUCCUUGUCGGGUAAGUUCCGACCUGCACGAAUGGCGUAAUGAUGGCCAGGCUGUCUCCACCCGAGACUCAGUGAAAUUGAACUCGCUGUGAAGAUGCAGUGUACCCGCGGCAAGACGGAAAGACCCCGUGAACCUUUACUAUAGCUUGACACUGAACAUUGAGCCUUGAUGUGUAGGAUAGGUGGGAGGCUUUGAAGCGUGGACGCCAGUCUGCGUGGAGCCGACCUUGAAAUACCACCCUUUAAUGUUUGAUGUUCUAACGUGGACCCGUUACCCGGGUUGCGGACAGUGUCUGGUGGGUAGUUUGACUGGGGCGGUCUCCUCCUAAAGAGUAACGGAGGAGCACGAAGGUUGGCUAAUCCUGGUCGGACAUCAGGAGGUUAGUGCAAUGGCAUAAGCCAGCUUGACUGCGAGCGUGACGGCGCGAGCAGGUGCGAAAGCAGGUCAUAGUGAUCCGGUGGUUCUGAAUGGAAGGGCCAUCGCUCAACGGAUAAAAGGUACUCCGGGGAUAACAGGCUGAUACCGCCCAAGAGUUCAUAUCGACGGCGGUGUUUGGCACCUCGAUGUCGGCUCAUCACAUCCUGGGGCUGAAGUAGGUCCCAAGGGUAUGGCUGUUCGCCAUUUAAAGUGGUACGCGAGCUGGGUUUAGAACGUCGUGAGACAGUUCGGUCCCUAUCUGCCGUGGGCGCUGGAGAACUGAGGGGGGCUGCUCCUAGUACGAGAGGACCGGAGUGGACGCAUCACUGGUGUUCGGGUUGUCAUGCCAAUGGCACUGCCCGGUAGCUAAAUGCGGAAGAGAUAAGUGCUGAAAGCAUCUAAGCACGAAACUUGCCCCGAGAUGAGUUCUCCCUGAGACUUAGAGUCUCCUGAAGGAACGUUGAAGACGACGACGUUGAUAGGCCGGGUGUGUAAGCGCAGCGAUGCGUUGAGCUAACCGGUACUAAUGAACCGUGAGGCUUAACCUUACAACGCCGAAG
rnacentral:rRNA from 1 species